GCCUUGCAACUAAAAUGCACCACGUGUCCAUCUCUAAGCUCUCCACCAUCUCUGAGCUCUCCAUCUCCCACCACGAGCUCGAUCUCCACCACGAGCUCUCCAUCUCUGAGCUCGCUCGCUCGCGUCGACCUCGUCGCUCUCUACUAUCAUCGCCUCCUCCUCCACCUCCCUCUAAUGGCGCCACUCCCUCAAGCUCCAAACCCUAGCUCCACAAGUCUCCUCCUUCCUCCUCCAUCGUAGGCGCGUCCAAUCCUUUUCCUUCUCUGCUUCUCAGGAAGGAGUGCCCUAACACCGAGUGUGGGACGGGGACGUUCAUGGCCAACCCAUAAUUUCUAUUGCUCGUGCCCUAACAUUGAGUGCGCUCGAUCGCCAUUACUGUGGCAAGUGUGGGCUCACCUGCGUCUACCAGAACAAAGAUUGAAGCAAUAAGCAUGAUUUGAUGUUCGCAUUUGAAGAAUGCUUAGCUGGAGCUUUUCACUUUCCUUUUUCUUAACUUUCGAAUAUUUGGGAUUCAAAUAAAUUUUCUAUUGCAUUGAUUUCUAUUAGAAUGUAAAAAUUUGUUUUGUUUGCAUUUUAUCACUGCUCUAGAUCAUUGCUUAUUGUUUUGUUUCAAGAAUGAUUGUAUCAUCUUAUUGCAAUUUAGUAAUAUGACUCUUAUUUUUUUUACGGAUAUUA